ACAACCUACGGGAGGCAGCAGUGGGGAAUAUUGCACAAUGGGGGAAACCCUGAUGCAGCGACGCCGCGUGAGUGAAGAAGUAUGUCGGUAUGUAAAGGUAUGUCAGCAGGGAAGAAGAAGGACGGUACCUGAGUAAGAAGCCCCGGCUAACUACGUGCCAGCAGCCGCGGUAAUACGUAGGGGGCAAGCGUUAUCCGGAUUUACUGGGUGUAAAGGGAGCGUAGACGGCGAAGAAAGUCUGAAGUGAAAGCCCGCGGCUCAACCGCGGAAGGGCUUUGGAAACUUUUUUGCUG
rnacentral:rRNA from 1 species